UAUAUAUAUAUAAAUAUAUAUAAUCCAACUAAAUAUGUUUUUAGGAGGAUAGAAAUUUUUGUUCUUUUAAGUCAUUUUAGAUGAUAGAGAUUUUGAAUCGAUAAUCAAAAUCAUUAAAGUUGAUUUAGAGUAUUUAAAGUGUCUAGAAAUUAAAUUUUAUAGAUUUUAAAAAUUAUUUACGUAGUGAUCAAAGGAUUACAAAAUCGCCAAUUUUUUAUAGCCUAUAUAAGCUGUUUGUUUGUUUAAUAGUGUAGAACAAUUCAAACAGCUAGAACUUUGAUAAAAAAAAUUUUAUACUAUUUAGAUGACGUUUGAUAACUCCGAUCAUGAAUUGAAAAAGUAUAACAUCUAUUUUCACAAGAUUAUUUAUUUUUAACUGUUUAUUUUUCGACUCUUCAAUAAACUUGAUAAUGAAUUUUAAAAUAUAUGAAAUUUAAUUUUUAGACAUUAUAAAUAUUCUAGAUCAAUUUUAACGAUUCUGAUCAUCGAUUCGGGAUCCCUAUCAUCUAAAAUAACUUAGGAUGACGAAGGCCUUUGUUCUCCUAAAAGCUAUGUAUUACGGACACUUUUAUCAACCUCGCGUGUUCGUGUCGGACGCGUGUUCGUGUUGGACACGUGUUCGAUUUGGACACUUCUUGUACGCACAUUUAAUGUCGAUUCAUAGCGCAAACAACUCAAAAAGAUAUACAUAUUUUUAUUUUACUUUUUUUUAAUGCAUUAUAAAUGUAAGAUGAUAAAUAUUUUAGUUUAUUAAUGAAUGCAUAUAAAUUUUUUGACAAUAGAAAUAAAUUAUGUAUGGCACAUAAUUUUUUUCUUAAAAUAUAUGAAUUAUCAAUAAAAAUUUUAUCAAAAUUAAUAUUAUAUAUACAAUAAAUAGAUAUAUAUUAUUAUAUUACUAAUAUUAUAUUAUAUUAGCGGUGUCCAUGUCAUGUUUUAGUCCUAAUUUUUUAAAAACUGCCGAAUCGUCAUGUUCGAGUCGUGUUAUGUCUCGUGUCCUGUAUCAGUGUCUAUGUCGCCUGGCUUAAAAGUAUAGCAACUUGGAACUAUAUCUAUGUAUAUUCAAUCUACUAUAUUGAUAAUAAACGAAGCCGGUGAUUGGUACACGAGGGGUUCAAAUUUGAAGUCUAAUUGCUUUAAUUUCCAGCGAAGCAGAUAACACACUACCUCUCUCUAAAAAAAAAAUAUUAAUAACAACUAAUUUUGAAAUUAUAAACAAAAAACAAAGCUAAUGAACCCAAAACAACAUUCACUCAAAUUAAAACAAUUUGAAACUCAAAAUUUGAGAGAACAACUACUUUUUCUUUUUUAAAGCAAACCAAGAUCAAAUCCAUUCUCUCUCCUCUCUCUUUCUCUCUCUUUCAUCUAUCCCUGUUUUCUUCUCUCUCAUCUUUCAUGGAAGAAGAAGAAGGAAAGAUUCUGCCCCCACCCCCUCCCCUCUCACAAUUUAUAUUCACUCUUCCCCGAUUCAUUUAUUAAUUACUCUUCCCUUAUUCCACCACCACCCUGUUCUCAUUAUCAUCAUUAUCAUUAUUCAACGGAAUAAGUAGAGAGAGAUUAUUAUUCACAUUUCCCCCUCCUUCUUAUUCCCCCGCUUCAACUUAUUCGCCCCAUCCAUGUCUCCUCCUCCUCCUCC
rnacentral:lncRNA from 1 species